UACAGAGGUGGCAAGCGUUGUUCGGAAUUACUGGGCGUAAAAGGGCGCGUAGGCGGCCUUCUAAGUCAGACGUGAAAUCCCCCGGCUUAACCUGGGAACUGCGUCUGAUACUGGAGGGCUUGAGUGCGGGAGAGGGAUGUGGAAUUCCAGGUGUAGCGGUGAAAUGCGUAGAUAUCUGGAGGAACACCGGUGGCGAAGGCGGCAUCCUGGACCCGACACUGACGCUGAGGUGCGAAAAGCGUGGGGGAGCAAACA
rnacentral:rRNA from 1 species